rnacentral:rRNA from 1 species
GACGAACGCUGGCGGCGUGCUUAACACAUGCAAGUCGAACGGAAAGGCCCUGCUUUUGUGGGGUGCUCGAGUGGCGAACGAGUGAGUAACACGUGAGUAACCUGCCCUUGACUUUGGGAUAACUUCAGGAAACUGGGGCUAAUACCGGAUAGGAGCUCCUGCUGCAUGGUGGGGGUUGGAAAGUUUCGGCGGUUGGGGAUGGACUCGCGGCUUAUCAGCUUGUUGGUGGGGUAGUGGCUUACCAAGGCUUUGACGGGUAGCCGGCCUGAGAGGGUGACCGGCCACAUUGGGACUGAGAUACGGCCCAGACUCCUACGGGAGGCAGCAGUGGGGAAUAUUGCACAAUGGGCGGAAGCCUGAUGCAGCAACGCCGCGUGCGGGAUGACGGCCUUCGGGUUGUAAACCGCUUUCGCCUGUGACGAAGCGUGAGUGACGGUAAUGGGUAAAGAAGCACCGGCUAACUACGUGCCAGCAGCCGCGGUGAUACGUAGGGUGCGAGCGUUGUCCGGAUUUAUUGGGCGUAAAGGGCUCGUAGGUGGUUGAUCGCGUCGGAAGUGUAAUCUUGGGGCUUAACCCUGAGCGUGCUUUCGAUACAGGUUGACUUGAGGAAGGUAGGGGAGAAUGGAAUUCCUGGUGGAGCGGUGGAAUGCGCAGAUAUCAGGAGGAACACCAGUGGCGAAGGCGGUUCUCUGGGCCUUUCCUGACGCUGAGGAGCGAAAGCGUGGGGAGCGAACAGGCUUAGAUACCCUGGUAGUCCACGCUGUAAACGGUGGGUACUAGGUGUGGGGUCCAUUCCACGGGUUCCGUGCCGUAGCUAACGCUUUAAGUACCCCGCCUGGGGAGUACGGCCGCAAGGCUAAAACUCAAAGGAAUUGACGGGGCCCCGCACAAGCGGCGGAGCAUGCGGAUUAAUUCGAUGCAACGCGUAGAACCUUACCUGGGUUUGACAUGGAUCGGGAGUGCUCAGAGAUGGGUGUGCCUCUUUUGGGGUCGGUUCACAGGUGGUGCAUGGCUGUCGUCAGCUCGUGUCGUGAGAUGUUGGGUUAAGUCCCGCAACGAGCGCAACCCUUGUUCACUGUUGCCAGCACGUUAUGGUGGGGACUCAGUGGAGACCGCCGGGGUCAACUCGGAGGAAGGUGGGGAUGACGUCAAGUCAUCAUGCCCCUUAUGUCCAGGGCUUCACGCAUGCUACAAUGGCUGGUACAGAGAGUGGCGAGCCUGUGAGGGUGAGCGAAUCUCGGAAAGCCGGCCUCAGUUCGGAUCGGGGUCUGCAACUCGACCUCAUGAAGUCGGAGUCGCUAGUAAUCGCAGAUCAGCAACGCUGCGGUGAAUACGUUCCCGGGGCU